UUAUUUUUUUAAAAUUUAUUUUAUAUGUAUUUAUUUUUUAAGUAUUAAUAGAAAUUUUUUAAUUAAUUACUACAUUGGGUUUAAUUUUUUUUUUUAAAAUAUUUUUUUAUUACCUUUUGUAUCAGGGUGAAUUAAUUUCUUUAUUUAUUUUUUAUUCCCGAAAUAAAAAGAUCAAUUAAAUUUUUUUCUUAUUUGUUUUAAAAAGUAGUAUAAAUUUAUUUUUGUAGAUAUAUUCUAUUCGAUUUUUAUUGUAUCUGGUUAUUUAAGAUUAAAUUUAAUUUUUUUUUUAUUAUUUUAAUUAAUAUUUAAUAAGGGAUAAUCUUUAUUAAUUAAUAAAAUUUAUUUUAAUUUACCUUUAUUAUUUUUUAAAUUUUAAAUUUAGUUAUUAAUAUAUUAAUGUGUAUUAAGUUCAAUUUUAUUUAAUUUAUUUUUUUAUUAAAUUUAUUUAUUUAAUUUAAAAUUAAAUUUAAUUUUGAUUCAAUUAGUAAAAGUUUAAAUUUAAAGUUAAAUGAAUUCGACAAAUAUAAUUUUCAACUGUUUAUCAAAAACAUUUUUUUUAGCUUGUAUUAAAAGUAUAUUCUGCCCUAUGAGAUUUAAAUGGCUGCAGUAUUUUAACUGUACAAAGGUAGCAUAAUAAUUAGUCUUUUAAUUGAGGACUGGAAUGAAGGAUUUAAUGAGAAAUUUAUUUUAUUAAUUUUAAUUUUUAAAUUUUAUUUUUGGGUAAAAAAGCUCAAUUAUUUUUUUGGGACGAAAAGACCCUAUAGAACUUUAUUUAUUUAUUUAAAAUUAGUUUUAAUUUUUAAUUAAUUUUAAUUAUUAAAUUUUAUUGGGGUGAUAAAUAAAUUAAACUUUAUUUAAAUUAUUCAUUAAUUUAUGUUUUUCUUGACUUUUGUUUAUACAUUAAAAGAAUAAGUUACCUUAGGGAUAACAGCGUAAUUUUUAUGGAGAGUUCAUAUCUAUAUAAAAGUUUGCGACCUCGAUGUUGAAUUAAGAUAAAUUAAAGAAGAAGUAUUUUUUAAAUUAAGUCUGUUCGACUUUUAAAUUCUUACAUGAUUUGAGUUCAAACCGGUGUAAGCCAGGUUGGUUUCUAUCUAAAAAUUAUUUAUUAAUUUAGUACGAAAGGACCAAUUAGU
rnacentral:rRNA from 1 species